UCCAAGCUCUCUCUCUCUCUCCCUCUCUCCAAUCCAUCACCGCCGGCCGCCGUUCUAAGUUCCCCCACAACCGGCCGUCGGCUUUGUUUGUGCGCCGCCUCCAGCCGCCGUCGCCGUCGCGCGUCAGCCGCCGGAGCCGCCCCUUCCUUCCCCUCGCCGCGCCCUCUCCCUCCUCUCUCUGUGCCUGUGAAGAAGAAGGGAGGAAACAAGAAGAAGAAAGGAGGGGAGAAGAAGAAGAAAUAAAGGAAAAAGAAGAGGACUGACAAGCGGGCCCCACUGCACAAAGAUCCGGUUAACAUCACAGGAGCUGACGUGGACACAGCCGACUACGCUAAAGCCCCUGAAGAUUUCGAGGUGCAAGGCAAGACAUAAAAUCAUAUAGAAACCUUAAUCUUCAUAUUUAAAUUUGAUGCAUGAUAUUUACUCUUUUAACAUCUCAUGGGUAGAUGUUAUACUUCAGAAUAACAUUGUAGUGAUUUGGAAUAAUUGGUAAUGAUUUCAAGCAUUAUUGCAUGAGAUUAUAGAAAGAAACAUUGGUCAUCAUUUUAUGUGAAUUACUAUUCCAAACAACUUUACAAACUUAGGAAUCCGGUUAAAAUGGGCAUUUAUGAGUUGAGAUUGUGAAUAUUGAGGUUUAUGAAUGUUGAUAUAUGAUGAAGUUUGUUGGUGUGGGGAGUUUGGAAAGUUUUGGGUGGUUUAACCGGAUUAUAAUUACCCCCUUAUACCAUGGGAAAUGACAUAGUUGCGUCCAUCCACACGACCAAGUAAUUGGACUUAGCCUAGUACAUUGUCCCACUAUAUGAAAGACUGUUGGUUGGCUCACUAGGAGCAGGAUUGGGGUGAACGCAUGUGUAAGGAGGUUGGGGGCAUGGUUCACAACGGUGGAACCCGUGAAAGCAGCGACCAUGUAGCCUUGCUUAUGCCCAGCAAGUGCCCGACUGCUAAGACGGAUCAAUAUCCCACUCGUGCAGUAACUAGUAGUAAGUGGGACCUUCGAACGGCUCUGGUGUCCUCAGCCUUGCAAACUAUUGAUAUCGUGUGGGUAAAGCUGGACAGUCUCUGCAGAGGUAAAUUAAAUCAUUCAAAUGUGCUGUACUCCCGGUUCUGGAGUUGUGUCAUAAGGGUGAUUCCUACUCCUGACGUAUAAGUAAUUUUAAACAUAAAAUAUUAAUGAAGAUAAUGAGAUUUUGUUGUUGUGCUUACUUUCUCUUUAAUUCAAUACCUUAUGCUUAAGAUGAUGAUAUUUAAACUUCUGUAAUAAUAUUCAUAUCAUAUUUAUAAGUGUCUUGCUGGGUACAUAAGUACUCACUCUUGCUUAAUCUAACAUAUAGAAGAACCGUAUUACGAAGAAGUUCCAGAAGGUAGCGAGGCCUACUUCAAUGAUGAGUUUUUCUAGGCUUAGUCUCCACUCAAGCUUAUGUCUGUGAAGUUUAGUAGCUUUGGGUUUUUCUUUGUACUUUCAAAUAAGGUUGUAAUAGUUUAGAUCUUUAAAACCAUUAACAGUUGUAUAAUUAGUUUGUAUGAACAAAUUUGUAUAAUUAAUCAGAAGCUGUUUUGUAUAUCAAUCUGUGCGUGAUCGAAAUCCUGGACGAUCACGAGUGAAUUUUCGGGGCACCAAGCCUAAAUUGGGUGUCCCCACAG